rnacentral:rRNA from 1 species
CCUACGGGUGGCAGCAGUGAGGAAUAUUGGUCAAUGGGCGCGAGCCUGAACCAGCCAAGUAGCGUGAAGGAUGACUGCCCUACGGGUUGUAAACUUCUUUUAUAAAGGAAUAAAGUCCGGCACGUGUGCCUUUUUAUAUGUCCUUUAUGAAUAAGCACCGGCUAACUCCGUGCCAGCAGCAGCGGUAAUACGGAGGAUCCGACCGUUAUCCGGAUUUCUUGGGUUUAAAGGGAGCGUAGAUGGGUUGUUAAGUCAGUUGUGAAAGUUUGCGGCUCAACCGUAAAAGUGCAAUUGAUACUGGCAGUCUUGAGUACAGUUGAGGUAGGCGGAAUGCGUGGUGUAGCGGUGAAAUGCUUAGAUAUCACGAAGAACUCCGAUUGCGAAGGCAGCUUACUAAACUGCCACUGACGUUGAUGCUCGAAAGUGUGGGUAUCAAACAGGAUUAGAUACCCUGGUAGUC